GUGCUUGCUUCAGCAGCACAUAUAGUAAAAAAUUGGAACCAUACAGAGAAGAUUAGCAUGGCCCCUGCACAAGGAUGGCAUGCAAAUUCGUGAAGAAUUCCAUGGUUCU
ensembl:snRNA U6 U6 spliceosomal RNA